rnacentral:rRNA from 1 species
GACGAACGCUGGCGGCGUGCUUAACACAUGCAAGUCGAACGGAAAGGCCCAGCUUGCUGGGUGCUCGAGUGGCGAACGGGUGAGUAACACGUGGGUGAUCUGCCCCUAACUUCGGGAUAAGCUUGGGAAACUGGGUCUAAUACCGGAUAGGACAAUCGUUUAGUGUCGGUUGUGGAAAGUUUUUUCGGUUAGGGAUGAGCCCGCGGCCUAUCAGCUUGUUGGUGGGGUAAUGGCCUACCAAGGCGUCGACGGGUAGCCGGCCUGAGAGGGUGGACGGCCACAUUGGGACUGAGAUACGGCCCAGACUCCUACGGGAGGCAGCAGUGGGGAAUAUUGCACAAUGGGCGCAAGCCUGAUGCAGCGACGCCGCGUGGGGGAUGACGGCCUUCGGGUUGUAAACCUCUUUCGACAGGGACGAAGCUUUGGUGACGGUACCUGUAUAAGAAGCACCGGCUAACUACGCG